UACGUAGGUGGCAAGCGUUGUCCGGAGUUAUUGGGCGUAAAGCGCGCGCAGGCGGUUGGAUAAGUCCAUGGUGAAAGCGCCUGGCUCAACUAGGCGAGUGCCGUGGGGACUGUUCAGCUGGAGUGGAGCAGAGGCGAGUGGAAUUCCGGGUGUAGUGGUGAAAUGCGUAGAGAUCCGGAGGAACACCAGAGGCGAAGGCGGCUCGCUGGGCCUGUACUGACGCUGAGGAACGAAAGCGUGGGGAGCGAACAGG
rnacentral:rRNA from 1 species